AACGAACGCUGGCGGCAGGCCUAACACAUGCAAGUCGAGCGCCCUUUCGGGGGAGCGGCGGACGGGUGCGUAACGCGUGGGAAUAUGCCCUUCUCUACGGAAUAGCCUCGGGAAACUGAGAGUAAUACCGUAUACGCCCUGUGGGGGAAAGAUUUAUCGGGGAAGGAUUAGCCCGCGUUGGAUUAGGUAGUUGGUAGGGUAAUGGCCUACCAAGCCGACGAUCCAUAGCUGGUUUGAGAGGAUGAUCAGCCACACUGGGACUGAGACACGGCCCAGACUCCUACGGGAGGCAGCAGUGGGGAAUCUUAGACAAUGGGGGCAACCCUGAUCUAGCCAUGCCGCGUGAGUGAUGAAGGCCUUAGGGUUGUAAAGCUCUUUCAGCUGGGAAGAUAAUGACGGUACCAGCAGAAGAAGCCCCGGCUAACUCCGUG
rnacentral:rRNA from 1 species